AUCAUAAUAGAAUAUAAGACCUAAAUAUGAUAAGAGAGAAAACAUCUCAUAAGUAGAUUUACAGUCUACCACCUAAAAUUCAGCCAUCUUACCGCAAAAAUGAUUAUUCUCAACAAACCAUAAGGACAUUGGUACUUUAUACUUCAUAUUUGGAGCAUGAGCAGGAAUAGUAGGAACAUCAAUAAGAAUACUUAUUCGUGCUGAACUUGGCCAACCUGGAUCUCUAAUUGGGGAUGACCAGAUUUAUAAUGUUAUUAUUACAGCUCACGCAUUCGUAAUAAUUUUCUUUAUAGUAAUACCUAUUAUAAUUGGUGGAUUUGGUAAUUGACUUGUUCCACUAAUAAUUGGUGCACCAGAUAUAGCAUUUCCACGAAUAAAUGAUAUAAGUUUUUGAUUACUACCACCUUCACUAACCCUUCUUCUUACAUCUUCUAUAGUAGAUAAUGGUGCUGGUACAGGAUGAACAGUUUACCCUCCUCUAGCAGGAGCUAUUGCACACGGGGGUGCAUCUGUAGAUCUAGCUAUUUUUUCACUGCACUUAGCAGGUGUAUCAUCUAUUCUUGGUGCAGUGAAUUUCAUUACAACAGCAAUUAAUAUACGAUCAGAAAGUAUAACUUUAGAUCAAACACCUUUAUUUGUAUGAUCUGUAGCUAUUACAGCAUUACUUCUCCCUCUUUCACUUCCAGUUUUAGCAGGAGCUAUUACUAUAUUAUUAACAGAUCGAAAUUUAAAUACAUCAUUCUUUGACCCUGCAGGAGGGGGUGACCCAAUUCUAUAUCAACAUCUAUUUUGAUUCUUUGGACACCCAGAAGUUUAUAUUUUAAUUCUACCGGGGUUCGGAAUUAUUUCACAUAUUGUAUGUCAAGAAAGAGGAAAAAUUGAAUCAUUUGGAACAUUAGGUAUAAUUUAUGCUAUACUAUCAAUUGGACUAAUAGGAUUUAUUGUAUGAGCACAUCAUAUAUUUACAGUAGGAAUGGAUGUUGACACACGAGCAUAUUUUACAUCAGCAACAAUAAUUAUUGCUGUACCUACAGGAAUUAAGGUAUUUAGAUGAUUAGCUACAUUAUAUGGAACUAAAUUCAAGUUCAAUCCACCAUUAUUAUGAGCUCUAGGAUUUAUUUUCCUAUUUACAAUUGGUGGAUUAACAGGAUUAGUAUUAGCAAAUUCAUCACUUGAUAUUGUAAUACAUAAUGAAAGUGGGCUACUACAUAAUAUGUAUCAUGUAAUACAAUAUCAAGUGAUGAAUUUGCUAAUACUAAUCCUGUUAAUCCACCAAUUGUAAAUAGGAAAAUAAAUCCUAGAGCUCAUAAUAAUGGUGGAUUGAACUUGAAUUUAGUUCCAUAUAAUGUAGCUAAUCAUCUAAAUACCUUAAUUCCUGUAGGUACAGCAAUAAUUAUUGUUGCUGAUGUAAAAUAUGCUCGUGUGUCAACAUCCAUUCCUACUGUAAAUAUAUGAUGUGCUCAUACAAUAAAUCCUAUUAGUCCAAUUGAUAGUAUAGCAUAAAUUAUACCUAAUGUUCCAAAUGAUUCAAUUUUUCCUCUUUCUUGACAUACAAUAUGUGAAAUAAUUCCGAACCCCGGUAGAAUUGAAAUAUAAACUUCUGGGUGUCCAAAGAAUCAAAAUAGAUGUUGAUAUAGAAUUGGGUCACCCCCUCCUGCAGGGUCAAAGAAUGAUGUAUUUAAAUUUCGAUCUGUUAAUAAUAUAGUAAUAGCUCCUGCUAAAACUGGAAGUGAAAGAAGGAGAAGUAAUGCUGUAAUAGCUACAGAUCAUACAAAGAAAGGUGUUUGAUCUAAAGUUAUACUUUCUGAUCGUAUAUUAAUUGCUGUUGUAAUGAAAUUCACUGCACCAAGAAUAGAUGAUACACCUGCUAAGUGCAGUGAAAAAAUAGCUAGAUCUACAGAUGCACCCCCGUGUGCAAUAGCUCCUGCUAUAGGAGGGUAAACUGUUCAUCCUGUACCAGCACCAUUAUCUACUAUAGAAGAUGUAAGAAGAAGGGUUAGUGAAGGUGGUAGUAAUCAAAAACUUAUAUUAUUUAUUCGUGGAAAUGCUAUAUCUGGUGCACCAAUUAUUAGUGGAACAAGUCAAUUACCAAAUCCACCAAUUAUAAUAGGUAUUACUAUAAAGAAAAUUAUUACGAAUGCGUGAGCUGUAAUAAUAACAUUAUAAAUCUGGUCAUCCCCAAUUAGAGAUCCGGGUUGGCCAAGUUCAGCACGAAUAAGUAUUCUUAUUGAUGUUCCUACUAUUCCUGCUCAUGCUCCAAAUAUGAAGUAUAAAGUA